GCUGCUGUAGCUCAGUGGUAGAGCGCGUCAUUGGUAAUGACGAGGCCGGGAGUUCAAUUCUCCCCAGCAGCACCA
rnacentral:tRNA from 1 species